rnacentral:rRNA from 1 species
AACGAACGCUGGCGGCAUGCCUAACACAUGCAAGUCGAACGAUACCUUCGGGUCUAGUGGCGCACGGGUGCGUAACGCGUGGGAACCUGCCCUUAGGUUCGGAAUAACUCCCCGAAAGGGGUGCUAAUACCGGAUAAUGUCAUCGGACCAAAGAUUUAUCGCCUUGGGAUGGGUCCGCGUUGGAUUAGCUAGCUGGUAGGGUAAAAGCCUACCAAGGCGACGAUCCAUAGCUGGUCUGAGCGGAUGAUCAGCCACACUGGGCCUGAGAGACGGCCCAGACUCCUACGGGUGGCAGCAGUGGGGAAUAUUGGACAAUGGGCGAGAGCCGGAUGCAUCAAGACCGCGUGGGUGAUGAAGGCCAGAGGGUUGUAAAGCUGUGUUGACCGGGAUGAUAGUGACGGUACCUUGAGAGUAAGCGCCGGCUAACUCCGUG